ensembl:lncRNA
AUCAGCCCUUCGUCUGAGGCUUUUUAUUUUCCUAGCUCUCCUUGAGCGGAGGGGGGAAAAAAAUUAUUUCUUGCCCUGGAUGAGAAAGCUCACUGUUUUAUCCAGUCUCCUGCACUCUGAGUGUUAAACAUCUAGCCCACCGAUGACCUCCCACAAUUUCAGAAACUCUCCCGCAGCCCAGGGCCCAGAACCAUGGAGGGACCAUGCUACUGCCAUGAGGGCCCAUUUCUUCAUGAAGGACACCAGCCAGUGUCCUCUCUCCAGGCGUCACACCCCACACGCCAAGAAACACAGAGGACAGGAGGGACCAGCAAGGAGGAGAUCCGAAGCCUGAUCCUGCUGGGGCCUGGCCUCUCGGAACUCUGCGGCCAGCCGGCUGUCCUCUGUAAAGUGGAGAAGAUGACAAGACCCGCUCUAUUCCCGAUCUGGGGAGAUGUGAAGAUCUAGGAGAUAAAGGACACUGGAUGGAGCUCCAGAGAUCACACGAGGAAGUGACAAACACCAGAGACUGCUCGGCGGCGAGAACCGACAAGGGUGGAUCUGCAGGAGAGCCACUGCGCCCCGCUGGUUCCCGGAGCGCUCAAAGCCACCCAGUCCGCCUGCGCAGCCCACUGCCCGGGCCGAUCCUCAGAUCCCAGGCUGGCAGCGCCGUCUGGACUCGGAGCAGACAGAGGUAGACUGGCAGCCGCAGGCCCCACUC